UCACAAGGUCGCGUGGCGGCUCCUCGCGACCGCUUGGGUUCUGAUCCGAUCAAUGCGGGAAGGACGACUCCCAUGGCCACCGCUCUAGAUUCUGGCCGACGCGACGAACGGCCUGGCCGGCGAGAAGAUCUGGCGGCCGCUCGUGAUGCGGGUGAAUCAGGGGCCGGCGGAUCCAGCCGACGCGGUCGUCCGCCUGCGAAUUGGAAAUGGAGGGACGCGAUCGAUGAUGGCCGGCGCCUCAUCUGCUGGAUACUCGGCAACGAUGCCGCGGCCUUUAGGUUUGGUUACGAGUGCGCGGUCCAUGGUUCUGCUACGGUCCGUUGAAAGAUCAGACAUCAUGGUUUUUGUCAUUACCCUGCCAUUAUUCAUCCGAAGAGAUGGAGAUGAGGUUGCUGUUUGACCAUGAUACGAAGAGGUGGAGAAUUUACUAUUUAUUCAGAUGGCAAAGAAGCACUGAUCUGCAGUUAAAGUGAUGCCGAAAUUCUGGAACCUGAGGAAGAGAAGCAUGUUUUCACAAAAUUAUGAGAAGAUCUGCUAAUAUUGUAAUAAUAUACCCCAUUUGAAUAGACUACGUUUUCUGCAUUGUGCGCUCUUGUCUCAAUUGCUACAAGUACUUUUGACAAAAUGCUAUUUAUCUGUUCAAGUUAAUCUGAGGAAUUGGUACUAUUUGUAAGCCUA